rnacentral:tRNA from 1 species
GGGUCAUGUAGCUCAGUCGUUUAGAUGACCGUCUUGAUAAGGCGAGGUGGUCGUUGGUAUCGAAUCCAAACCAGACCCACCA